rnacentral:rRNA from 1 species
UACGUAGGGUCCGAGCGUUGUCCGGAAUUAUUGGGCGUAAAGAGCUCGUAGGCGGUCUGUCGCGUCUGCUGUGAAAACCUAGGGCUUAACUCUGGGCGUGCAGUGGGUACGGGCAGGCUAGAGUGCGGUAGGGGAGACUGGAAUUCCUGGUGUAGCGGUGAAAUGCGCAGAUAUCAGGAGGAACACCGGUGGCGAAGGCGGGUCUCUGGGCCGUAACUGACGCUGAGGAGCGAAAGCAUGGGGAGCGAACAGG